UACGUAGGGGGCAAGCGUUGUCCGGAAUCAUUGGGCGUAAAGAGCGUGUAGGCGGCCCGGUAAGUCCGCUGUGAAAGUCCAGGGCUCAACCCUGGGAUGCCGGUGGAUACUGUCGGGCUCGAGUCCGGAAGAGGAGUGUGGAAUUCCUGGUGUAGCGGUGAAAUGCGCAGAUAUCAGGAGGAACACCGGUGGCGAAGGCGGAUCUCUGGGCCUUAACCUGGACGCUCAGGCACGAAAGCUAGGGGAGCGAA
rnacentral:rRNA from 1 species